CCUCCACCAAUGCGAAACAAGUAAACAGGCUGUAAGUUAUGCAUGACACUGUAACUGAAAGAAUAAAAAGGCUGCCUCGCCUGGCAACGGGGCGCUUUCCUGAGCAAACGAGCUGUCUGCGUCUGUUUCCUUCCCGCAUCUGGUGACCCCGACGUGAUUCCAGCCCUCCGUACCCACCGGCCGGUCGAGCCGUGGUGCACCACAGUGCGUCUUUGCGCACUCCCUCUUUCCCUACAGGAACGUACAGGGGGAUUUGGCUCCACACGCGCUGACCCCCUGCAGCCCACCAACGGCGGAAAGGUAACAACUGACUCAACUUACCACCCUCAGGUCGCCGCCGUGCUCCAGCACAUACACAAUCGUAAGCCUACCUGUUCUUAUCAGAUCCACGGUGCAAGGAGGAACUCCCCGCCCCGAAAGUGACAUAUCGGCAACUCCCCGGCACUACGUGGAGUGCCCCAGUUCCUUUGAUAACCUGGGGGCGGGGAUACACGGCCGUCAGCACACCACAAGGACCGGUGUGGGUCCCAGCUCGUUACAUACGUCCGUGGAAGGAGGACCCCACCAGCGACCCACAGCAUGGCGUGGCACCAGAGCCUUAACAAUCCUAUUCCCAACUUUAAUUCGUUAGUGACCACAACAAUGACUCUGUCUCAAGAGCGACGCCGUGGUCCACCCAAUGCUCCAGUGACGUGGGGGCAAAUAAAGUCCCUCUCCCGGCAAGCUGAACACCUGCUAGAACAACAAGAUAAGGAGAAGUCCCCAGAAAAUUUGUUGCUUGCCCUCAUUACUUGUUUGCAUGCUAAUUCUUGUGUUUUAUUGAGCAUAAUGAU